rnacentral:rRNA from 1 species
UACGUAGGGGGCGAGCGUUAUCCGGAUUCAUUGGGCGUAAAGCGCUCGUAGGCGGCCUGCUAGGUCGGGAGUCAAAUGCGGGGGCCCAACCCCCGGCCGCUCCCGAUACCGGCGGGCUUGAGUUUGGUAGGGGAAGGCGGAAUUCCCGGUGUAGCGGUGGAAUGCGCAGAUAUCGGGAAGAACACCGGUGGCGAAGGCGGCCUUCUGGGCCACAACUGACGCUGAGGAGCGAAAGCUGGGGGAGCGAACA